UUUAAAAUGGAUUUCUUUAUAAUGAGAAUCGUAUCACCUUAUUGAAUAACUUAUGAACCUUCAACACUAAUAAUGAUCCUCUUAGAUAUUUGGCCGAUAUGAUGUUGGUUCAUAAAUUUACUACUAGUAAAUACCCUAAAGGAGAGAGAUUCCAACCCUUUCUACAUUUUUAUGAUGAUUUAGACCCAGAGUUUAACCCAAGCAAUGGAUUUAUGGAUUUACACUCUUUUAUCC
rnacentral:lncRNA from 1 species